rnacentral:tRNA from 1 species
GGAGAGAUGCAAGAGUGGUUGAAUUGGCACGCCUGGAAAGCGUGUGUACUCCAAAAGGGUACCGGGGGUUCGAAUCCCCCUCUCUCCG